GAUGAAGAACGCAGCGAAAUGCGAUAAGUAAUGAGAAUUGCAGAAUUCAGUGAAUCAUCGAAUCUUUGAACGCACAUUGCGCCCCUUGGUAUUCCGAGGGGCAUGCCUGUUCGAGCGUCAUUAUAACCCCUCAAGCUCAGCUUGGUGUUGGGGCCUGCCGCACGGGCAGCCCUUAAAAUCAGUGGCGGUGCCAUCUGGCUCUAAGCGUAGUAAUUCUUCUCGCUAUAGAGUCCCGGUGGAUGCUUGCCAUUAACCCCCAAUUUUCUAUGGUUGACCUCGGAUCAGGUAGGGAUACCCGCUGAACUUAAGCAUAUCAAUAAGCGGAGGA
rnacentral:misc_RNA from 1 species